rnacentral:rRNA from 1 species
AUUGAACGCUGGCGGCAGGCUUAACACAUGCAAGUCGAGCGGAGAUGAGGUGCUUGCACCUUAUCUUAGCGGCGGACGGGUGAGUAAUGCUUAGGAAUCUGCCUAUUAGUGGGGGACAACAUUCCGAAAGGAAUGCUAAUACCGCAUACGCCCUACGGGGGAAAGCAGGGGAUCUUCGGACCUUGCGCUAAUAGAUGAGCCUAAGUCGGAUUAGCUAGUUGGUGGGGUAAAGGCCUACCAAGGCGGCGAUCUGUAGCGGGUCUGAGAGGAUGAUCCGCCACACUGGGACUGAGACACGGCCCAGACUCCUACGGGAGGCAGCAGUGGGGAAUAUUGGACAAUGGGCGGAAGCCUGAUCCAGCCAUGCCGCGUGUGUGAAGAAGGCCUUUUGGUUGUAAAGCACUUUAAGCGAGGAGGAGGCUACCUAGAUUAAUACUCUAGGAUAGUGGACGUUACUCGCAGAAUAAGCACCGGCUAACUCUGUGCCAGCAGCCGCAGUAAGAC